UUGAGAUAUUUAGCUUAACUUAGCUGAUCUGCACUGCCACACUUGCCUAACACAGAUGCAUCAAUGAAAGCUAAAAAGCUGAUAAAUUAUAUGUAAUCAUUCCACAGUGCAAAUUACCCAUCAGGUUAGAAUUUCUCAAUUGCAUUCCUCCCGUGAAGAAGAAUCAGGUGGAGGUCUUCAGUCAAAUCUGCCCUGACUUGAGGCAGCUCCUUCAGACUCCAGCAGCCCUUUUAGCUGCUCUUUUUCUGCUGUGAAAUCUCAGUGAAACUAAUGAGCACCAUGCAGGUUAAGAUAAGACAUCUUCUGGCAACGGUAGUCAUGGAACUAUCUGCUUCUUACUAAAGAUGUAACAGAGCUGAGGAAGCCAGCGGGAUUCUGCUCACAAUGCUUUCUAAAGCUUUAAGAGUUCUGCUUCAGUCCAGGGAGAUUCUGCCUUCGUGGAACUGAGACAGGGAGAUUCCUGCUUCUUUCUAAGCAAACUAAGGAUCCAUAAGGCCUUGUCUUGCUCCUGGGGUAUUGCACAGGUAACGUGGGGAAAAAGAUGGCAUUCAGAGUCCUCCUUCAAGACCUGAUGGCAUGAGGUUGCAAUACUUGAUUUUAGCUACAAAUUCAUUUUUGUUUAUGCAUGUAAGGGAACUGCGUGGAGUCAAAAGAGAGUCUUUGGAAUUGUUAUGUACUUCCUAGGAGAAAUACUCAGCCACUGAUGCGUACGUGCACCUUCUAUUUGUUGUAGGCAUUCACCUGCUGGGGCUGGUAGGGGAAAAAAUGUUUACUGAUUAAUUGAGAUGGUUGGAAAUGUGAGUGGGUAAGGUGACGUUAUGGGCUAUGGACAUAAGUUCAAUUCAUGGUUUACCUCUGAAUUUUUAGCACACUGUUAAGAUCUUCACUAGAAGAGUAUAUAUUGUUGUGACUUUUUGCUGCUGGUUAGCCAUGUGACAUUUUACAUUGUGUUGUUUCAUUCUAACUCUGUUGCAAUAAGAUCUGUAAUGGCGUAAGAUUAUUUCCUUACUCGUUUUUUUUUUUUUUAAGUCCUUCUUGUGUGUAUGUAUUUUUAAGCUUUUUUUUUUAAGCCCUACUUCCUUGGGGCUGAUAUUGUUUCCUCCAUUUGUACGCUACUGAAAUAUACAUAUUUUUUUUUUUUUUUGGUUAUGUUUUCCCCUGAUCUGAAAAUGCAGAAGCAGCAGCGAAGGAGAUUUGCUGCAAAAGCUGUGCAAAUAUUCAAAUA